GACGAACGCUGGCGGCGUGCCUAACACAUGCAAGUGGAGCGACGAACCAGGCUUCGGCCUGGGGCAAAGCCGCGAACGGGUGAGUAACACGUGGGUAACCUGCCCUGAUGAUUGGGACAACCCGAGGAAACUCGGGCUAAUACCAAAUGUGCCCUUCGGCCACAAGGCCGCUGGGGAAAGGAAGCUUCGGCCUCCGCAUCUGGAUGGGCCCGCGGCCCAUUAGCUUGUUGGUGAGGUAACGGCUCACCAAGGCGACGAUGGGUAGCUGGUCUGAGAGGACGAUCAGCCACACUGGGACUGAGACACGGCCCAGACUCCUACGGGAGGCAGCAGUGGGGAAUCUUGCGCAAUGCGCGAAAGCGUGACGCAGCAACGCCGCGUGGGGGAAGAC
rnacentral:rRNA from 1 species